GAUGAACGCUGGCGGCGUGCCUAAUACAUGCAAGUCGAGCGAACGGACGAGAAGCUUGCUUCUCUGAUGUUAGCGGCGGACGGGUGAGUAACACGUGGAUAACCUAUCUAUAAGACUGGGAUAACUUCGGGAAACCGGAGCUAAUACCGGAUAAUAUUUUGAACCGCAUGGUUCAAAAGUGAAAGACGGUCUUGCUGUCACUUAUAGAUGGAUCCGCGCUGCAUUAGCUAGUUGGUAAGGUAACGGCUUACCAAGGCAACGAUGCAUAGCCGACCUGAGAGGGUGAUCGGCCACACUGGAACUGAGACACGGUCCAGACUCCUACGGGAGGCAGCAGUAGGGAAUCUUGCGCAAUGGGCGAAAGCCUGACGGAGCAACGCCGCGUGAGUGAUGAAGGUCUUCGGAUCGUAAAACUCUGUUAGUAGGGAAGAACAUAUGUGUAAGUAAAUGUGCACAUCUUGACGGUACCUGAUCAGAAAGCCACGGCUAACUACGUG
rnacentral:rRNA from 1 species